ACCCUACUCUAAUAAGGCUUUUAAUAUCUGGAGCUCAUAGGUGGGAGAUAAAGUAUACAUACUUACAAGACAUUUAUUGUAUAGUCAAACCAUGGAUCCAAAGAAACAAAUCAAUAAGUCAAAUCAAGAUGUGCAUGUGUGGCGAAUGGAUGGUGUAUGGUGAUGAUGGUGAUAACAAUGGUCAAAGUCUAAUUCUUUUGCUCUUUGAGGGGAUACAUACCGUCCUUGCUUUUCGAAACUUUGUGAGGAGAAUCAGAUGCUCUAUAUUUCAUUUUUCUUUCCUCUCAGGUGGGUAUAUUGUACCCCUAAUUCUACUGUCGGACACUUGUCCAUUUUUACCUCUCGUCUCACUUUUUCUUUUCUUUCGAGGUUCCGGGCACUUGCCCCUUUUUAUUUCCUCGUAUCUUUCUCUUUUUUUAGAGCACUCAUCUCUUGAGAUAAUAUAGCAAAUGGU
rnacentral:lncRNA from 1 species